rnacentral:rRNA from 1 species
CGGCACGGGUGAGUAACACGUAUCCAACCUGCCGUCUACUCUUGGACAGCCUUCUGAAAGGAAGGUUAAUACAAGAUGGCAUCAUGAGUCCACAUGUUCACAUGAUUAAAGGUAUUCCGGUAGACGAUGGGGAUGCGUUCCAUUAGAUAGUAGGCGGGGUAACGGCCCACCUAGUCUUCGAUGGAUAGGGGUUCUGAGAGGAAGGUCCCCCACAUUGGAACUGAGACACGGUCCAA